UAAAGGUUUGGUCCCAGCCUUCCUAUUAGUUAUUAGCAGAAUUACACAUGCAAGUCUCCACAUCCCGGUGAAAAUGCCCUCUAAAUCCCCACAGGAUUAAAAGGAGCGGGUAUCAAGCACACCAACAAGUAGCUCAUAACGCCUUGCUUAGCCACACCCCCACGGGACACAGCAGUGAUAAAAAUUAAGCCAUGAACGAAAGUUUGACUAAGCCAUGCUAACAUCAAGAGUUGGUAAAUUUCGUGCCAGCCACCGCGGUCAUACGAUUAACCCGAAUUAAUAGGCCCACGGCGUAAAACGUGUUAAGGAUCACAUAAUACUAAAGUUAAAAUCUAACUAGGCCGUAAAAAGCUACCGUUAGUAUAAGAUAUGCCACGAAAGUGACUUUACCAUCUCCAACAACACGACAGCUGGGACCCAAACUGGGAUUAGAUACCCCACUAUGCUCAGCCCUAAACAUGGAUAGCUAACAUAACAAAACUAUCUGCCAGAGAACUACUAGCAACAGCUUAAAACUCAAAGGACUUGGCGGUGCUUUACAUCCCUCUAGAGGAGCCUGUUCUGUAAUCGAUAAACCCCGAUAAACCUCACCACUUCUAGCUAAAUCAGUCUAUAUACCGCCAUCUUCAGCAAACCCUCAAAAAAAGGAAGAAAAGUAAGCACAAUAAUAAUACAUAAAAAAGUUAGGUCAAGGUGUAACCCAUGAAGUGGGAAGAAAUGGGCUACAUUUUCUAAUAAAGAGCAAACUCACGAAAGUUUUUAUGAAAACUAAAAACCAAAGGUGGAUUUAGUAGUAAACUAAGAAUAGAGAGCUUAGUUGAAUUGGGCCAUGAAGCACGCACACACCGCCCGUCACCCUCCUCAAGCAAUGUAUCCAAAUUCUACAUAAUGCGCAAGCCAAACCAGAGCAAGAGGAGAUAAGUCGUAACAAGGUAAGCAUACUGGAAAGUGUGCUUGGAUGAAC
rnacentral:ncRNA from 1 species